CUUUAAUGUAUUUCCUUCAUUUUCACAGUUUAACUUUUACUGAAUGAAAAUGAGCAGCUUUGUCAUUCUGCUAAACGUCUCCUUUGGUGCUCGAUGGAAGAAAUCAGAGGUUGGACCAACAUGAGGGAGAAAGUCAGUCAUAUGGAGUUGGAGAGAAAUUAAGGCUGUGCGAUUUCUGCAGCCCCCAGCAAAACGAUAAUAUCCUGGAGAUCAGGAGUGCUGGAUGAUGAUUGGCUCAGAAUGAACCAGCAGAAACCAUCUGAGCUGGUGGACAGAAGGAGACUGUGGCAGCAGUAACUCAUCUGUAAUGGUCUGUAAAGCCUUCAGCUUGAGGCUGAGCGUAAAAAAACAGUCCAAUGCGAUAUGAGUGAUUUAUCAAUCGUCUGUGCUGAAGACCUCCCCAAUGGUUCUGCAGUGUGGAUAGGAAGAGGAGGAAGAAGUAAAGCUCAAAGUUUUCUCCUGCACAACUUGAAAUGGUCUGCGUGGUGGUGCCCGUGAUACUGCAGAGGUGUUUGGAACGGAGCCCUGCUGUUUGAACACUUACUCUCCCCUACCCCUGCACCUCCUCCUCUGCCUCUCCAAGCAGUCUGUUCCUCCUGCUGUUUUCACUGCUAGUUUACAGAAUAUCUGCUUCAGAAACUUCAGAACAUAGAGGUUUAUUUUGUGAUUGGGGAAAUACUGUUUUAUAUCUUGGUAAGGGGAAGGAGAGCGAUGUGUGUUCGUGUGUGAACAGAUGGUAGAUUUUACAUUUCCUUGAAGAAAAUGAGUCGUGCUCGGCUGUGGAAAUUUCACAGGCCAGUUUCAAGGGUGUUUUGGGUGGUUGCCAGGGUGGUAUAAUGCUACUAAAGUGUGUUUAGUGAUUUUAUGUUGCUUAUGUUGCUUUAAGGUGUUUUGAAUAGUUGUUUGUGUGUUGCAGAUGGUUGAUAAUGUGUUUUUGGUGUUUGCCUGGGUGUUGCUAUCCUAUUAAAGUAUGCUUAGUAAUUUGUAUUUUUAUUUAUUUUAUUUAUUUUUUGCAAUUGCUAGAGUGGUUUGAAAAUAUGUUUGUGUGUUGCAGUUGGAUUGCUAGGGUGUUAUGGGUUGUUGCUAUGCUAUUUAAGUGUACAUUUGCUAAGAUGUUCUAAUUGGUAACCAGGGCUGUUGAUAUGAUUCUAAAGCAUACUUUGUGAUGUUUGUGUUGCUCUAGUGUUAUUUGUGGUUAUUAGUGGUAUUUGUUUACUAGGGUGUUUUGGGUGGUUGCCAGGGCAUUGCUAUGCUGCUAAAAAUGUUUUUAGUGAUUGUGUGUUGCUUCGCAGCUGCUAGGGUGUUUUAAAUAGUUGUUUGUGUGUAGCAAUUUGAUUGCUAGGGUGUUUUGGGUAGUUCCCGGAAUGUUGCUAGGCUCCUAAAGUAAUCUUAGUGAAUGAUAGUGUUGCUAGGGUGGUCUGAAUAGAUGUUAUGAGUGUAAUUUGUAAAAAUUUGGUUGCUAAGUGUACUUUAGUUAUUGUUAAUAUUUUGCUAUGCAGUUUCUUGGCUGUUCUGAAUGGUUGUUCGUAUAUUGUCUUUUGGCUGCUUUGCUGUUUAGGCUGUUUACUGAUGUAUUAAAUGUAUUGAUGUUUGCUAAUCUUUAUUUUUAAUAUAUUUUUGCUAAUAUUUUCUCCCUCGCUAAGGUUUCUGGAUUAAGGUAGUUUCUUAGUGGCAAAGA